rnacentral:rRNA from 1 species
UACGGGGGGUGCGAGCGUUGUCCGGAAUCACUGGGCGUAAAGGGCGCGUAGGUGGCGUGAUAAGGGUGUGGUGAAAGCCCGGGGCUCAACCCCGGGUCGGCCAUGCCGACUGUCAGGCUAGAGUGUGGUAGAGGAAGAUGGAAUUCCUGGUGUAGCGGUGAAAUGCGUAGAUAUCAGGAGGAACACCGGUGGCGAAGGCGCUCAUCUGGCCCAAUACUGACGCUGAGGCGCGAAAGCUAGGGGAGCAAACGGG